GCCAGGGUGGCGGAACUGGUAGACGCAGGAGACUUAAAAUCUCCCGGGCCGAAAGCUCUUCCGGGUUCGAAUCCCGGCUCUGGCACCA
rnacentral:tRNA from 1 species